rnacentral:rRNA from 1 species
GACGAACGCUGGCGGCGUGCUUAACACAUGCAAGUCGAACGGAAAGGCCCUGCUUUUGUGGGGUGCUCGAGUGGCGAACGGGUGAGUAACACGUGAGGAACCUGCCCUUGAAUUUGGGAUAACUUCAGGAAACAGGGGCUAAUACCGGAUAGGAGCUCCUGCUGCAUUGUGGGGGUUGGAAAGUUUCGGCGGUUGGGGAUGGACUCGCGGCUUAUCAGCUUGUCGGUGAGGUAGUGGCUUACCAAGGCUUUGACGGGUAGCCGGCCUGAGAGGGUGCCAGGCCACAUUGGGACUGCGAUACGGCCCAGACUCCUACGGGAAGCAGCAGUGGGGAAUAUGGCACAAUGGGCGGAAGCCUGACGCAGCAAAGCCGCGUGCGAGAUGACGGCCUUCGGGUUGUAAAACGCUUUCGCCUGUGACGCAGCGUGAGUGACGGUAAUGGGUAAAGAAGCCACGGCUAACUACGUG